rnacentral:rRNA from 1 species
UAUUCCAAUACCAACAUUAGUGUGCGAUGGAAGGACGCUUAGGGCUAAGGGGGCUAGCGGAUGGAAGUGCUAGUCUAAGGUCGUAGGAGGUUGUACAGGCAAAUCCGUAUAACAAUACUCCGAGAACUGAAAGGCUUUUUGAAGUCUUCGGAUGGAUAGAAGAACCCCUGAUGCCGUCGAGCCAAGAAAAGUUUCUAAGUUUAGCUAAUGUUGCCCGUACCGUAAACCGACACAGGUGGGUGGGAUGAGUAUUCUAAGGCGCGUGGAAGAACUCUCUUUAAGGAACUCUGCAAAAUAGCACCGUAUCUUCGGUAUAAGGUGUGGUUAGCUUUGUAUUAGGAUUUACUCCGAAAGCAAGGAAACUUACAACAAAGAGUCCCUCCCGACUGUUUACCAAAAACACAGCACUCUGCUAACUCGUAAGAGGAUGUAUAGGGUGUGACGCCUGCCCGGUGCUCGAAGGUUAAUUGAUGGGGUUAGCAUUAGCGAAGCUCUUGAUCGAAGCCCGAGUAAACGGCGGCCGUAACUAUAACGGUCCUAAGGUAGCGAAAUUCCUUGUCGGUUAAAUACCGACCUGCAUGAAUGGCGUAACGAGAUGGGAGCUGUCUCAAAGAGGGAUCCAGUGAAAUUGUAGUGGAGGUGAAAAUUCCUCCUACCCGCGGCAAGACGGAAAGACCCCGUGGACCUUUACUACAGCUUGACACUGCUACUUGGAUAAGAAUGUGCAGGAUAGGUGGGAGGCUUUGAGUAUAUGACGCCAGUUGUAUAUGAGCCAUUGUUGAGAUACCACUCUUUCUUAUUUGGGUAGCUAACCAGCUUGAGUUAUCCUCAAGUGGGACAAUGUCUGGUGGGUAGUUUGACUGGGGCGGUCGCCUCCCAAAUAAUAACGGAGGCUUACAAAGGUUGGCUCAGAACGGUUGGAAAUCGUUCGUAGAGUAUAAAGGUAUAAGCCAGCUUAACUGCAAGACAUACAAGUCAAGCAGAGACGAAAGUCGGUCUUAGUGAUCCGGUGGUUCUGUGUGGAAGGGCCAUCGCUCAAAGGAUAAAAGGUACCCCGGGGAUAACAGGCUGAUCUCCCCCAAGAGCUCACAUCGACGGGGAGGUUUGGCACCUCGAUGUCGGCUCAUCGCAUCCUGGGGCUGGAGCAGGUCCCAAGGGUAUGGCUGUUCGCCAUUUAAAGCGGUACGCGAGCUGGGUUCAGAACGUCGUGAGACAGUUCGGUCCCUAUCUGCCGUGGGCGUAAGAAGAUUGAAGAGAUUUGACCCUAGUACGAGAGGACCGGGUUGAACAAACCACUGGUGUAGCUGUUGUUCUGCCAAGAGCAUCGCAGCGUAGCUAAGUUUGGAAAGGAUAAACGCUGAAAGCAUCUAAGCGUGAAGCCAACUCUAAGAUGAAUCUUCUCUAAGCUCUCUAGAAGACUACUAGUUUGAUAGGCUGGGUGUGUAAUGGAUGAAAGUCCUUUAGCUGACCAGUACUAAUAGAGCGUUUGGCUUAUCUUUAAUAAAGCAU